rnacentral:rRNA from 1 species
GGUUAAGCGACUAAGCGUACACGGUGGAUGCCCUGGCAGUCAGAGGCGAUGAAGGGCGUGCUAAUCUGCGAUAAGCGCCGGUAAGGUGAUAUGAACCGUUAUAACCGGCGAUACCCGAAUGGGGAAACCCAGUGUGACUCGUCACACUAUCAUUAACUGAAUCCAUAGGUUAAUGAGGCGAACCGGGGGAACUGAAACAUCUAAGUACCCCGAGGAAAAGAAAUCAACCGAGAUUCCCCCAGUAGCGGCGAGCGAACGGGGAGGAGCCCAGAGCCUGAAUCAGCAUGUGUGUUAGUGGAAGCGUCUGGAAAGGCGCGCGAUACAGGGUGACAGCCCCGUACACAAAAGCGCAUGUGCU